rnacentral:rRNA from 1 species
AGCUCCAAUAGCGUAUAUUAAAGUUGUUGCAGUUAAAAAGCUCGUAGUUGGAUUUCUGGUGGGAGCGGCCGGUCCGCCUCAUUUGGGGUGUGUACUGGGCCGUCUCCAGCCAUCCUUGGGGAGAACGGUUCUGGCAUUGAGUUGUCGGGGCCGGGAACCCCAUCGUUUACUGUGAAAAAAUUAGAGUGUUUAAAGCAGGCUUACGCCGUUGAAUACAUUAGCAUGGAAUAAUAAGAUAGGACUUUGGUGCUAUCU